rnacentral:rRNA from 1 species
AGAGACAGCAGUAGCCGCGGUAAUACGUAGGGCGCAAGCGUUGUCCGGAAAUAUUGGGCGUAAAGAGCUCGUAGGCGGUCUGUCGCGUCUGGUGUGAAAUCCCGAGGCUCAACCUCGGGCUUGCAUCGGGUACGGGCAGACUAGAGUGCGGUAGGGGAGACUGGAAUUCCUGGUGUAGCGGUGGAAUGCGCAGAUAUCAGGAGGAACACCGAUGGCGAAGGCAGGUCUCUGGGCCGCAACUGACGCUGAGGAGCGAAAGCAUGGGGAGCGAACAGGAUUAGAUACCCCUGUAGCCCUGUCUCUUAUACA